rnacentral:rRNA from 1 species
GAUGAACGCUGGCGGCGUGCCUAAUACAUGCAAGUCGAGCGAACAGAUGAGGAGCUUGCUCCUCUGACGUUAGCGGCGGACGGGUGAGUAACACGUGGAUAACCUACCUAUAAGACUGGGAUAACUUCGGGAAACCGGAGCUAAUACCGGAUAAUAUAUUGAACCGCAUGGUUCAAUAGUGAAAGACGGUUUUGCUGUCACUUAUAGAUGGAUCCGCGCCGCAUUAGCUAGUUGGUAAGGUAACGGCUUACCAAGGCAACGAUGCGUAGCCGACCUGAGAGGGAGAUCGGGCACACUGGAAAAGAGACACGGAACAAGCUCAAGCGGGAGGAGGGAGAAGGAAAUUAUCAGAAAAGGGGGAAAGCCUAAGGGGAGAACGACGGGUGGGUGAUAAGGGGCUUCGGAUAAGAAAAAGCUGUUAUGAGGGAAGAAAAAAUGGGUAAGUAACUGUAAACAUUAGAACGGUAACCAAUCAGAAAGCAAAGGCUAACAACGU